rnacentral:lncRNA from 1 species
CAAUUGAUUUGUGAAAAAAUAUUUUUCCAUCAUAGUAUAUCAAAAAAUUAAUGAUGCUCCGUCUAAUAAGAUCGGUUUAACCAUCACACAUCACUGUCAGUCUGUAUGUGGGCCAUUUAUUCUUGUAAUAAGCAAUCCAUCUGUAGAUCCUUCUUGUUACUGUCAAGAAGCUGACUAUAGAUGUCCUUAGGUCCUGACGGAUCUACACCCUGGCCGGC